AGAGUUUGAUCCUGGCUCAGGAUGAACGCUGGCGGCGUGCCUAAUACAUGCAAGUCGAACGAGAGGAAGGAAAGCUUGCUUUUCUGAAUCUAGUGGCGAACGGGUGAGUAACACGUAGGUAACCUGCCCAUGUGCCCGGGAUAACUUCUGGAAACGGAUGCUAAAACCGGAUAGGUAGCAGACAAGCAUUUGACUGCUAUUAAAGUGGCUAAGGCCAUGAACAUGGAUGGACCUGCGGUGCAUUAGCUAGUUGGUGAGGUAACGGCCCACCAAGGCGACGAUGCAUAGCCGGCCUGAGAGGGCGGACGGCCACAUUGGGACUGAGACACGGCCCAAACUCCUACGGGAGGCAGCAGUAGGGAAUUUUCGUCAAUGGGGGGAACCCUGAACGAGCAAUGCCGCGUGAGUGAAGAAGGUCUUCGGAUCGUAAAGCUCUGUUGUAAGAGAAAAACGACAUUCAUAGGGAAUGAUGAGUGAGUGAUGGUAUCUUACCAGAAAGUCACGGCUAACUACGUGCCAGCAGCCGCGGUAAUACGUAGGUGGCGAGCGUUAUCCGGAAUUAUUGGGCGUAAAGAGGGAGCAGGCGGCACUAAGGGUCUGUGGUGAAAGAUCGAAGCUUAACUUCGGUAAGCCAUGGAAACCGUAGAGCUAGAGUGUGUGAGAGGAUCGUGGAAUUCCAUGUGUAGCGGUGAAAUGCGUAGAUAUAUGGAGGAACACCAGUGGCGAAGGCGACGAUCUGGCGCAUAACUGACGCUCAGUCCCGAAAGCGUGGGGAGCAAAUAGGAUUAGAUACCCUAGUAGUCCACGCCGUAAACGAUGAGUACUAAGUGUUGGGAGUCAAAUCUCAGUGCUGCAGUUAACGCAAUAAGUACUCCGCCUGAGUAGUACGUUCGCAAGAAUGAAACUCAAAGGAAUUGACGGGGGCCCGCACAAGCGGUGGAGCAUGUGGUUUAAUUCGAAGCAACGCGAAGAACCUUA
rnacentral:rRNA from 1 species